GCGGGCGUUGCAUAGUGGCAGUGCUCUAGCCUUCCAAGCUAGAAGUGUGGGUUCGAUUCCCACCGCCCGCUCCA
rnacentral:tRNA from 1 species